GUAGGUGAACCUGCGGAAGGAUCAUUCAUAAUAAGUGUUUUAUGGCACUUUUUAAAUCCAUAUCCACCUUGUGUGCAAUGUCAGUCGAUCUUCUUCAUGGAGAUCGACCAAACAUCAACCUUUAUUUUUUAACUCUUUGUCUGAAAAAUAUUAUGAAUAAACAAUUCAAAAUACAACUUUCAACAACGGAUCUCUUGGCUCUCGCAUCGAUGAAGAACGCAGCAUCUGACUGACUGAUAUGCGGCUGAUC
rnacentral:misc_RNA from 1 species